ACUUAAUCUUGAUCUUUGUUUACUGGGAGUUGCUUUCUGUUGUUUCAGGUGAUUUGCUGGUCUGCGGACAGUCUGAUGUGCUGUUUCCUCUUCAGCCCAGAGGGAGACAAUUCUAGGUGUAACUGGACCCCCAAACUCACCCAUGAAUACCUCUGCGAUGAGCACAGCAAACCACGAUGGAAAUGAAUUGGCUGAUUCCAGACAACAACACUUUAAGAGAGACAGAUAACAGGACCGACAUAUUUUAUGAGGAAUGGAUGUUGGACUCUCCUGAGUAGGGCAAGAUCACUUCAAUACAUCAAAAUUCUGUGAUGACAGGUCUGAACAGCAACCCUCAAUGGAAGGAGGAGAAGCAUCACUGGGGGACUGUGAUAUAUGAUAGGACAGCAUGCAAGCCCAAAAUAUUAAAGAUAAAUGUCUGGAAAAGAGAGGAGCUACUGAAGAUGAACAUUCUACUUCCCUGUUUUGCCAAGGACUAUCCAUGGCAGGAUCAUAUUCUAAAAUUAUUUACCAUUUCCUGAAAAACCACCAAAUAUUGUGCAACUCACUCCAAGUUAGACAUAAGAAUUUUAAAUCAACCCAAGGAUUUAUAUACCUGCACUCAGAGAUUUAGGAUUCUGGCAAGUAUGGAGAAAAGAGGGAUUUCUUUUUUUUUUUUUUACGUUUUUGCAAAUCAUUCUGUCCUUGCACCCUCCAUUAUGCCUAGUACUUUUUCUCUAUUAGAUACUGAAAUUAUUUUAACAAGCCUUUAUGAACUAUUCCGCUGUAAUUCACAUCAUUUUAAUUAACAUAUACAUAGUGGUCAGUGCAUACCAAGACUCUUCUUUGUUUAUAUUUUAGUUGCUCCUUUCAUGUUGCUCUUAUAGAAAGCCAGGCCACUAAAUCAGUAAAGAAUUCAGUUUCUAAAUCAUGUUUGACUUGAGAGCUACCUUGGAAAAUUCCAGUAUCCUAAUGGCUGCUGGAUCUCUACAUUAGGGUUUUGGCCUCUGAUUCAGACUCAUGGGACUUUCAAUUCUUAUUGCACAUUUUGACACAUGAAGGCAAAGAAGGCAGCAGAAGUGUGAGAAUAUAUUAACAAGGAAGCACUUAAGCCUAAGAGAAAUUAGAUGUGGCAGGAAUUGAAUGUGCAGGAGGAGAAAGUGAAAUAAUGUGGAAAUAAGUUCAUAAACUCAUAAACUCUAUGUUGCCUUAUAUAAAGUGAAUGCAAGUCCAAUUUAACAUUAUUUUACUAUUUCUGUAUUUCAGGUUCAGUUAUCUGAACCUAAAAUAAAAAAUCAAUUAAGUCAAUCAUUAAGAAAAGACUGGUAAAAUGUGCCUGGAAAUCUAGGUCUUUGGGGAUAUUGAUUUAUAAAACUUCCAUAGCAAAUCAGUUGGUCCUCACAUGUCAAAUAAUGGUAGGGUAACAUAAUUUGUAGGCUGAGAAGAGCUGAUAAAGUUAUUCAAGGGAUAAGAUACCAGGGAGUACCUUAUCAAUCUAUCCUGAAAAUGCCUCUUAUUGUAAUUUUCACUUGCAGUAUUACCAAAUUAUUAUUUUCUUUAAAUUAGUGCUCUUUUGUGAGUUUCUCUUCUAUAAUGUAAAUACAAUAUCUCAAAAGAAAAUAAUAUAAGAUGACAACCUAUCAGUGGUGUGCUAAACUGGCUCUUAAAGAUGCAAGAGACCCCAUUGUUUGUAUACCUUACAAACUCCCCCUUCAGUACCUUCUCAUCAGUAGUUUUAAAUCACUCAUAGUGGGACAUUUAUACAACAGAAAUCAGCAGACAAAUCAAGCUUACUUGAAAACUGGUUCAACCAUUAUAGCUUCAUAUCUGUAAUUUCAAAAGUUAUUUUAUGUAGCCUAUUUUGCAUUUGUUAAAAUAUAAUCUUAAAGAAAAGCUUUCCUUUGCAUUACAUGUUGUUCUAUAUACAUUUGUUGCAAUUACUUGAAGGCACUUUUUGUGUGUUUAUUUUUCCUCAAAAGAGACAUGAAGAUACGGAGGAUUAUUUUGGCUUGGAGUACACAAAAUUUUAUGGGUGGUCAGUCUGUUUAUUUUGUUUAUAACAGAAUACCUGAAACUGGGUAAUUUAUGAAGAAAAGGAAUUUAUUUAUUAUAGUUACGGAGACUGAGAAAUCCAAGGUUGAGGUGCUGUAUUUGGUGAGGGCCUUGUUGCUGGUGGAGACUCUCUGCAGAGUCCCAAGGUGUCACAGGGCAUCACAUCAUGAGGGGACUGAUUGUGCUAGCUCAGUUCUCUAUUUCUCUUCUUAUAAAGCUACAAUUACCACAUAUACAUAUAUAUAUAUAUAAAAAUUCAUACAUGGAUUAAUUCAUUAAUUCAUUAAUUAAUUCAUGAAUUCAGAGCCCUCAUGACAUAAUCUUAAACAUCGCACCUUUCAAGACUGCCAUAUUAGGGAUUAAAUUUAAUCAUGAGUUUUUGGGGAAGAGACAAGUACUUAAACAUGGAUCAUAUGUGGGUUUUAUUUGGAAAGACCUUAGACUAGGUGGGUGCUUAUGGAAUAUUGUUUCAAAGACACAGGGGGAUUAUUGAAUGAAAGAAAAAACUCCCACCUAUUCACAACUCCUUUUCCUAUUCCCUACAGGCUUUUGAGGGUCCAGAAACUUCCCUCCUACUGUGAGAGAUUGGGUUACCCAUAAUACAAACCUAGCACCUCAAAUCCGCAAAUAU
rnacentral:lncRNA from 10 species